AUUGAACGCUGGCGGCAGGCCUAACACAUGCAAGUCGAGCGGAUGAAGGGAGCUUGCUCCUGGAUUCAGCGGCGGACGGGUGGGUAAUGCCUAGGAAUCUGCCUGGUAGUGGGGGAUAACGUCCGGAAACGGGCGCUAAUACCGCAUACGUCCUGAGGGAGAAAGUGGGGGAUCUUCGGACCUCACGCUAUCAGAUGAGCCUAGGUCGGAUUAGCUAGUUGGUGGGGUAAAGGCCUACCAAGGCGACGAUCCGUAACUGGUCUGAGAGGAUGAUCAGUCACACUGGAACUGAGACACGGUCCAGACUCCUACGGGAGGCAGCAGUGGGGAAUAUUGGACAAAGGGCGAAAGCCUGAUCCAGCCAUGCCGCGUGUGUGAAGAAGGUCUUCGGAUUGUAAAGCACUUUAAGUUGGGAGGAAGGGCAGUAAGUUAAUACCUUGCUGUUUUGACGUUACCAACAGAAUAAGCACUGGCUAACUUCGUG
rnacentral:rRNA from 1 species